ensembl:ncRNA K11C4.13 ncRNA
CUGUUGGCAGGAAAUAGGCGGAGUCAACUUUGGAGAGAGGAAAUGGUGAUGAUGUGGUGUAGCGGUUGGGGGAUGCCAGUCAUGAACAAUGGGUGCAGGGUGUACCCGCGUUUUAUGACGGGGAGGAGGAGACGGGUGGCGAUCAAAAGACAAAGAUAGAACGUCCGAGUGCAAUGUACCUGUAUAUACCAGAUGGCAUUAUAGUGGUUUAGAGUG